rnacentral:tRNA from 1 species
UGCCCCCUGGUGUAAAGGCAGCACAGCGGUCUUUGGAACCGUUAGUGGAGGUUCGAAUCCUCCGGGGGCAA